rnacentral:tRNA from 1 species
AUUCAUUUAGUAUAAAUUUAGUACUUUUGACUUCCAAUCAAAAAGCUUGAAAUUCAAAAUGAAUA